UGCGUAGGCGGCGCGGUAAGUUGGGUGUGAAAGCCCUCAGCUCAACUGAGGAACUGCACUCAAAACUACCGUGCUUGAGGGAGACAGAGGUAAGCGGAACUCAAGGUGGAGCGGUGAAAUGCGUUGAUAUCUUGAGGAACACCGGUGGCGAAGGCGGCUUACUGGGUCUUUUCUGACGCUGAGGCACGAAAGCUAAGGUAGCAAACG
rnacentral:rRNA from 1 species